UACGUAGGGUGCAAGCGUUGUCCGGAAUUAUUGGGCGUAAAGAGCUCGUAGGCGGUCUGUCGCGUCGAAUGUGAAAACCCGGGGCUCAACCCCGGGCCUGCAUUCGAUACGGGCAGACUAGAGUUCGGUAGGGGAGACUGGAAUUCCUGGUGUAGCGGUGAAAUGCGCAGAUAUCAGGAGGAACACCGGUGGCGAAGGCGGGUCUCUGGGCAACAACUGACGCUGAGGAGCGAAAGCGUGGGGAGCGAACAGG
rnacentral:rRNA from 1 species